CCUACGGGGGGCUGCAGUGGGGAAUAUUGGACAAUGGGGGGAACCCUGAUCCAGCCAUGCCGCGUGUGUGAAGAAGGCCCUCGGGUUGUAAAGCACUUUCAGUGAGGAAGAACGCCUGGUGGUUAAUACCCAUCAGGAAAGACAUCACUCACAGAAGAAGCACCGGCUAACUCCGUGCCAGCAGCCGCGGUAAUACGGAGGGUGCGAGCGUUAAGCGGAAUUACUGGGCGUAAAGCGCGCGUAGGUGGCUUGAUAAGCCGGUUGUGAAAGCCCCGGGCUCAACCUGGGAACGGCAUCCGGAACUGUCAAGCUAGAGUGCAGGAGAGGAAGGUAGAAUUCCCGGUGUAGCGGUGAAAUGCGUAGAGAUCGGGAGGAAUACCAGUGGCGAAGGCGGCCUUCUGGACUGACACUGACACUGAGGUGCGAAAGCGUGGGUAGCAAACAGGAUUAGAUACCCGAGUAGUC
rnacentral:rRNA from 1 species